rnacentral:rRNA from 1 species
CACGUAGGGUGCAAGCGUUGUCCGGAAUCAUUGGGCGUAAAGAGCUCGUAGGCGGUUUGUCACGUCGGGUGUGAAAGCCCGGGGCUUAACCCCCGGGUCUGCAUUCGAUACGGGCAGACUAGAGUGAUGUAGGGGAGACUGGAAUUCCUGGUGUAGCGGUGAAAUGCGCAGAUAUCAGGAGGAACACCGAUGGCGAAGGCAGGUCUCUGGGCAUUAACUGACGCUGAGGAGCGAAAGCAUGGGGAGCGAACAGG